GACGAACGCUGGCGGCGUGCCUAACACAUGCAAGUCGAGCGAGUGGAUCUCCUUCGGGAGAGAAGCUAGCGGCGGACGGGUGAGUAACACGUGGGCAACCUGCCUCAUAGAGGGGAAUAGCCUCCCGAAAGGGAGAUUAAUACCGCAUAAGAUUGUAGCUUCGCAUGAAGUAGCAAUUAAAGGAGUAAUCCUCUAUGAGAUGGGCCCGCGGCGCAUUAGCUAGUUGGUGAGGUAACGGCUAACCAAGGCGACGAUGCGUAGCCGACCUGAGAGGGUGAUCGGCCACAUUGGGACUGAGACACGGCCCAGACUCCUACGGGAGGCAGCAGUGGGGAAUAUUGCACAAUGGGGGAAACCCUGAUGCAGCAACGCCGCGUGAGUGAUGACGGCCUUCGGGUUGUAAAGCUCUGUCUUCAGGGACGAUAAUGACGGUACCUGAGGAGGAAGCCACGGCUAACUACGUGCCAGCAGCCGCAGUAACAC
rnacentral:rRNA from 1 species